GACUAGUCCCUCGUUCAGAAUGGAGCCUGGUAGGAUGACAUGACGUCACGUCGCCGUGGCGACCAGGCUCCCCGAGACACGUGUCUUGUAUAAAAGCGGACGGCGGCACCGUGGAUUGCGCACACAGACUCAAGAAGCAACAUCCGUCAGUUAACUUAAUCCCCCAAAGCAGCAGCAGCCAUGUCAGACCUCCGUGUUGGAAUCAAUGGGUGAGUUUGAAACACACACACACACACACACACACACACACACACACACACACACACACACACACACAUACACACACA